GACCUCAAAUCAGGUAGGAUUACCCGCUGAACUUAAGCAUAUCAAUAAGCGGAGGAAAAGAAACUAACAAGGAUUCCCCUAGUAACUGCGAAUGAAGCGGGAAGAGCUCAAAUUUAAAAUCUGGCGGUUUCACCGUCCGAGUUGUAAUCUAGAGAAGUGUUAUCCGUGCUGGACCGUGUACAAGUCUCUUGGAAUAGAGCGUCAUAGAGGGUGAGAAUCCCGUCUUUGCCACGGACUGCCAGUGCAUUGUGAUGCGCUCUCAACGAGUCGAGUUGUUUGGGAAUGCAGCUCAAAACGGGUGGUAAACUCCAUCUAAAGCUAAAUAUUGGCGAGAGACCGAUAGCGAACAAGUACCGUGAGGGAAAGAUGAAAAGAACUUUGGAAAGAGAGUUAAACAGUACGUGAAAUUGUUGAAAGGGAAACGC
rnacentral:rRNA from 1 species